rnacentral:misc_RNA from 1 species
GAUGAAGAACGUAGUGAAAUGCUAUACGUAGUGUGAAUUGCAGAAUUCAGUGAAUCAUCGAAUCUUUGAACGCACAUUGCACCUCUCGGUAUUCCGGGAGGUAUGCCUGUUCGAGCGUCAUUUGUACCCUCAAGCUCUGCUUGGUGUUGGGUGUUUGUUCCGCCUCUGUGUGUGAACUCGCCUCAAAACAAUUGGCAGCCGGCGUACUUGUUUCGGAGCGCAGCACAUUUUGCGAUCCAGAUCAACGUACAGCGGCAUCCAAGAAGCCUUAUUUAACGCUCUUGACCUCGGAUCAGGUAGGGAUACCCGCUGAACUUAAGCAUAUCAAUAAGCGGAGGA